rnacentral:rRNA from 1 species
UACGAAGGGGGCUAGCGUUGCUCGGAAUUACUGGGCGUAAAGCGCACGUAGGCGGAUCUUUAAGUCAGGGGUGAAAUCCUGGAGCUCAACUCCAGAACUGCCUUUGAUACUGAGGACCUUGAGUUCGGGAGAGGUGAGUGGAACUGCGAGUGUAGAGGUGAAAUUCGUAGAUAUUCGCAAGAACACCAGUGGCGAAGGCGGCUCACUGGCCCGAUACUGACGCUGAGGUGCGAAAGCGUGGGGAGCGAACAGG